UUUAAUUAAAUUAAACUCAAUUAAUUUUAAAGGCCCAAAUUGUACUAAAUUAAUUUAUCCAUCUCUUAUUAAUAUUUAUUAGCCCACACAAAUUAAAUAACUAGUUUGACCCAACAUAAAUGACAAAGUCCAAUUAAUAUGUUUUAAAACAAAAUAAUUUUUAUUAUGCAAUAUUUAUUUAUUAAUUUUUUACCGGGUAUUACAUCACCUACCCCUUAAAAAGUAUUCCGUCC
rnacentral:lncRNA from 1 species